ACUGUGAGACUGCGAACGGCUCAUUAUAUCAGUAAUAAUUUCUUCGGUAGUUUCUUUUAUAUGGAUACCUGCAGUAAUUCUGGAAAUAAUACAUGCUGUAAGAGCCCUGUAUGGGGCUGCACUUAUUAGAUUGAAGCCGAUUUUAUUGGUGAAUCAUGAUAAUUGAGCAGAUUGACUUUUUUGGUCGAUGAAUCGUUUGAGUUUCUGCCCCAUCAUUUGUCGACGGUGGUGUAUUGGACUACGGUGACUAUAACGGGUGACGGAAAGUUAGGGCUCGACUCCGGAAAGGGAGCCUGAAAAACGGCUACCACAUCCAAGGAUAGCAGCAGGCGCGUAAAUUACCCACUGUGGACUCCACGAGGUAGUGACGAGAAAUAUCGAUGCGAAGCGUGUAUGCGUUUUGCUAUCGGAAUGAGAGCAAUGUAAAACCCUCAUCGAGGAUCAACUGGAGGGCAAGUCUGGUGCCAGCAGCCGCGGUAAUUCCAGCUCCAGAAGCAUAUGCUAAAGUUGUUGCAGUUAAAAAGCUCGUAGUUGAAUUUCUGGCAUGGGCGACCGGUGCUUUCCCUGAAUGGGGAUUGAUUGUCUGUGUUGCCUUGGCCAUCUUUUUCUUUUCUUUUUGGGGGAGAAAUCUUUCACUGUAAUCAAAGCAGAGUGUUCCAAGCAGGUCGUAUGACCGGUAUGUUUAUUAUGGGAUGAUAAGAUAGGACUUGGGUGCUAUUUUGUUGGUUUGCACGCCUGAGUAAUGGUUAAUAGGAACAGUUGGGGGUAUUCGUAUUUAGGAGCUAGAGGUGAAAUUCUUGGAUUUCCGAAAGACGAACUAGAGCGAAGGCUUUUACCAAGCAUGUUUUCAUUAAUCAAAAACGAAAGUCUGGGGAUCGAAAAUGA
rnacentral:rRNA from 1 species